UACGUAGGGGGCAAGCGUUGUCCGGAAUCAUUGGGCGUAAAGAGCGCGUAGGCGGCCCAGUAAGUCCGCUCUGAAAGUCAGAGGCUCAACCUCUGAAUGCGGGUGGAUACUGCUGGGCUAGAGUCCGGAAGAGGCGAGUGGAAUUCCUGGUGUAGCGGUGAAAUGCGCAGAUAUCAGGAGGAACACCGGUGGCGAAGGCGGGACUCUGGGCCGAUACUGACGCUGAGGCGCGAAAGCGUGGGGAGCAAACAGG
rnacentral:rRNA from 1 species